CAGCUAGUUGGUAAGGUAACGGCUUACCAAGGCUACGAUGUUUAGGGGAUCUGAGAGGAUGACCCCCCACACUGGUACUGAGACACGGACCAGACUCCUACGGGAGGCAGCAGUAAGGAAUAUUGGUCAAUGGGCGCAAGCCUGAACCAGCCAUGCCGCGUGCAGGAAGACGGCCCUACGGGUUGUAAACUGCUUUUAUACUGGAAUAAACCUUUGUUCGUGAACAGAGCUGAAUGUACAGUAAGAAUAAGGAUCGGCUAACUCCGUGCCAGCAGCCGCGGUAAUACGGAGGAUCCAAGCGUUAUCCGGAUUUAUUGGGUUUAAAGGGUGCGUAGGCGGCCUAUAAAGUCAGGGGUGAAAGACGGGAGC
rnacentral:rRNA from 1 species